AACCAUGGCUUCGGCCAUGGGGAGAGCGGCGAACGGGUGAGUAACACGUGAGCGAUCUGCCCUCGACACUGGGAUAGCCCGGGGAAACCCGGAUUAAUACCGGAUAGCCUCUCGGGUCUACGGGCUCGCGAGAAAAGAUGGCUUCGGCUUUCGGUCGAGGAGGAGCUUGCGGCGGAUUAGCUUGUUGGUGAGGUAACGGCUCACCAAGGCGACGAUCCGUAGCUGGUCUGAGAGGACGAUCAGCCACACUGGGACUGAGACACGGCCCAGACUCCUACGGGAGGCAGCAGUUGGGAAUCUUGCGCAAUGGGCGAAAGCCUGACGCAGCGACGCCGCGUGAGGGAAGAAGGCCUUCGGGUUGUAAACCUCUUUCAGGAGGGACGAAGCCACUCGGGUUAAUAGCCCAGAGGGUGACGGUACCUCCAGAAGAAGCCCCGGCUAACUACGUGCCAGCAGCCGCGGUAAUACGUAGGGGGCAAGCGUUGUCCGGAAUCAUUGGGCGUAAAGCGCGUGUAGGCGGCCAGAUAAGUCCGCUGUGAAAACUCGAGGCUCAACUUCGAGCUGUCGGUGGAAACUAUCUGGCUAGAGUCCGGAAGAGGAGAGUGGAAUUCCUGGUGUAGCGGUGAAAUGCGCAGAUAUCAGGAAGAACACCCGUGGCGAAGGCGGCUCUCUGGGACGGUACUGACGCUGAGACGCGAAAGCGUGGGGAGCGAACAGGAUUAGAUACCCUGGUAGUCCACGCCGUAAACGAUGGGUGCUAGGUGUGGGCGGUGUCGACUCCGUCCGUGCCGAAGCUAACGC
rnacentral:rRNA from 1 species